rnacentral:rRNA from 1 species
UACGUAGGGGGCGAGCGUUGUCCGGAUUCAUUGGGCGUAAAGGGUGCGUAGGCGGCGCGGUAAGUCGGGUGUGAAAUCUCGGAGCUUAACUCCGAAACUGCAUUCGAUACUGCCGUGCUUGAGGACUGGAGAGGAGACUGGAAUUUACGGUGUAGCGGUGAAAUGCGUAGAUAUCGGGAGGAAUACCUAUGGCGAAAGCAGGCUACUGGACCGUCACUGACUCUGAUCUGCGAAAGCUAGGGGAGCAAACAGG